UACGUAGGGAGCAAGCGUUGUCCGGAAUCAUUGGGCGUAAAGCGCGCGUAGGUGGCUUCGUAAGUCCGUUGUGAAAGUCAAAGGCUCAACCUUUGAAAGCCGAUGGAUACUGCGGAGCUAGAGUACGGAAGAGGCGAGUGGAACUGCGAGUGUAGAGGUGAAAUUCGUAGAUAUUCGCAAGAACACCAGUGGCGAAGGCGGGCUCACUGGCCCGGUACUGACGCUGAGGUGCGAAAGCGUGGGGAGCAAACAGG
rnacentral:rRNA from 1 species